rnacentral:lncRNA from 1 species
AUGAGAGGCAAAGAUCUCUCGAAGGGAGGUCUAGUAAAAUCAAACAACAGAUUGUGCAUAUAUCUAAAGCCAAGCAUUAUGUUUGGUUGGCGAAAUGGCAAGUCCACACAAUUAUCUAAUGCCAUGUCUGUAAGUGCUACCCAGUAUAUGUAGGUUCUCUAAUACUUGUAUCUAAUUAUAUAAUUUGAUUUAGGUCUUCAUGUUUUUGUGUUUCUUUCAUUUGCCUCAUAGAUUGUGGAACUUUUGGUGCAUAUGGAUUGUGAAGGAUGCGAAAAAAGGAUACGAAGAGCGAUUUCGAAAAUACAGGGCAAGAAUUUAUAAUUCAUUUUUGUUUCAUCCAUCUCCGUAAUUAGUUCGAUGCUUUCAUAUUUCUCCCUUUCCUUUUUUAUUCUUUUUAUUUUUGGAUUUUUCUUUGGCAAUAUUCAGUUGGAAUUUACAUUUCUUUGGCAAAUUUCUGGCUCCGCUCCUGUAUAAUAUAAUUCUUCAUUAGUUAAUUACUUGUCAUUUACAUUCAUAUCUGUAUGUGUAAUGAUGAGAAUAUAAUAUUGCAUGCAUGCAUAAGUGCAGGUGUGGAUAGUUUAGAAAUAGACAUGGAUAAGCAAAAGGUAACGGUGACGGGGUAUGUGGAUCAGCGGAAGGUGUUAAAGGUUGUAAGAAGAACAGGAAGGAAAGCGGAGUUUUGGCCCUUCCCAUACGACACCGAAUACUAUCCGUAUGCAUCUCAAUACCUAGACGAGUCCACGUAUUCGUCUUCCUAUAACUACUACAUGCACGGCUAUAACGAAAGCGUACAUGGCUACUUCCCGGACCCUUUAUACUCAACCGUUGCCGAUCAAACUGUACAUCUCUUCAGUGACGACAAUGUUCAUGCAUAUUGCACCCUUAUGUGA